GGGUAAGCCCCUCGCGUGGCGCUAUCUCACCCAACUCCCCCAGGGCCGGAAGGCAGCAAGGGUAAGUGGGCUCUGGCGGGUACGUGGGGCCCUUGUGUUUC
rnacentral:SRP_RNA from 1 species